AGAUGAAAAAAGAGAAGAACCAAAAAGGAGGGAGGAGGAAGAAGAGAAAGAAGAAGACACGGAUUGAUAUGAUUCGAUAUGUUGGCGAUUCGAUUAGUUUGCUGACUUUUUCUCUGUCUUUCUCUUGUAUUUGGCGAUCUG
rnacentral:ribozyme from 1 species